rnacentral:rRNA from 1 species
UGGGAACGUACCUUUUGGUUCGGAACAACCCAGGGAAACUUGGGCUAAUACCGGAUAAGCCCUUACGGGGAAAGAUUUAUCGCCAAAAGAUCGGCCCGCGUCUGAUUAGCUAGUUGGUGGUAAUGGCCCACCAAGGCUACGAUCAGUAGCUGGUCUGAGAGGAUGAUCAGCCACAUUGGGACUGAGACACGGCCCAAACUCCUACGGGAGGCAG